GCGAAUAAAUAUUACAAUAAUGAAUUAUAAAAGAAUGAAAAUACGAAUAAAGAAUUAUAAAAUACAAUGGCAAUAAUCAUACAACACAUAUUGUUUGGCAUCAAUAUUAACGAUAAAAAAUGAAACAAAAUAAUACAUAUAAAACCACUUGAAGUAACUAGUAUAAAACAAUUUAAAACAAAUAAUAUACAAAGCAAAUUGAAAUAAAUGAAAGAUAAUUUUAGACUAAUAAUGUAUAUAGAAAAACAUGUUUAAAGUAGACACUACUAAAAGGAAUUUAAAACAAUUUGAAAUUAUGAAUGUACAAAACAAUAAAAUAAUGCAUAGAAUAACUAAAAUAAAUAAUUUAUAAAGUAAUUUGAAAUAACAUAUAAAGAGUUUACGACAAAUAUUUGAAACAAGUAAUAUAUGAAACAAUAUAUAAGCAAUAUAAGAAAUCUCAAAAUAAAUAAUAAAAGAUUUACAAUAAACAAUAAGAGGGGCUUAAAACAGUUAACCUAUAAAACAAUAUCAUUAAACAACAUAUAAAAUUCAAGAUAGACAAUAUAUACAAUAGUUCAAAAUAUAAUAAUAUAUAACAAAACGGUUUAAAGUAAAAAUUGCGGGGUGAAAAUCGUAAAUAAUAGAAGUUGCUAGGGACUAAAAUGGGACGUGCGAGAAAGAACGAGGGCAAAUGGGUAAUUAUCCCCGGACUCUCUCUUUAAACGCACCGUUUCAGGUGGUCAGAUAGUCGAAGGACUAAAAUGAAACCAAACCAAAGUUGUAAGACGAAAUUAAAAAAAGAAAUAAGCUUAAAUCAAAAACAGGCAAAAAGCGGAGGGGCCAAAUAUGUAAAUUUCCCCUCCAUGCCAAAACACGCGGAUCCUGGGGGAUAUCCUGGUCGGAUUUCGGGUCAUGGACUAAAACGGCACCGUUUUGGCACCUGAAUCUCAGGCCCAAAACGACGUCGUAUGGGCAUUGUAUUAAACCUCAAUUUUUUACAAAAAAAAUCAUUUUAUCAAACCAAAACAAAAAAAAACCCCUCUCCCUCUUAUCUAUUAGGGUUUCGAAAGAACCCUUCUUGACCCGCCGUCACCUAUCCGACACCAUACGCGGUGGCCGGCGUUCAGAAAACUGUCCCUUUCGGCCGAUCCAACCUCUCCAAUCUCGACCUAAGGGUAACGUACCCCAAACUACCCACAAAAAUUUGAAAACAAAAGCGAAAAUGAAGAGAGAAUGAAGGGGCCUUUCGGCUCCCUAAGAACGCCAGCGGGAUUUUCAUUCGAGUCCCCUGACUCGGCGACCUCCGAGGCCGGAGAAAGCUCCAAGCACGGCGCUAAAGGUAGCGGAUUUUGCCCCUCUCACUUUUAUUUAAUAUUAUUAUUUAUUUCAAACUAAAAAAUAGAAAUCGAAGAACCUUAAUCUUCUUUGAAUUCGUUUUUUGUAUUUGAUCUCUUUUGUAUUUGAUUGAUAUUCUCCGUUUUUGAAUAUUGAAAAUCCCCCCUAAAAUACAAUCAGUUCCUCUUCCCUUUUACAUCAUGCUCAUCUUUUCUCUUAUAACCGAAAAAGAAAAUAGCAAAAUACAAUAUUUUUUGCUUUGCUGUUGUCUGUCUUUUCUUGCUUGUUGCUUUGGUUUUGCAGGUGUCAGAGGAGUGCUAGGCGGUGGCAUGUGGGCAACGUUCGGCGGUAGGCAUGCUGGCCUAGGUACGGCUCCUGGCUUAGGUAGCUUUAGGUUUUUUUGUUUGUUUCUGAUUUGGGCUGUGUACUUUGGGUUUGGGUUUUAGGUUUUUGGGCCUGCUGGGCCAUUGUAAAAAAUGGACCGUUUAUUAUUUUAUUUUGGUUUUUGGUUUAUGGGCCCGGGCAAAUUUGGACCUCUACAAUUAUUACAUUACAUUUAUUUAAAAUGUAAAUGUCGGAAAAACCAAAUUACUAUGACAACAACUAGCAUUACAAGUAACAAGGCAAAGAUCAAACUCUAUUUUUCAGUCUUGAGUUUUUCUGCUAAUGAAGUGAUAAAUUUCAAAUAUGAUUAGGUCUAAAUUGCUACAUGGGCCAUUCCAACCAAUGCUGUAGAGAAUCGGGUGCUACACAAUUCCAGUGGAUAAUAUAUUUGCACUUUGACUUUAAGCAUUCAAGAGCCAAAUUUUCACAAGGAUUACCGCAUCCAUCACAAUUAGGGUAGUAAUACUUCUUCACAAUGGUGAUUGGGUGUGGAUGAUUUGUUCCUUCAUAAAUGUUUCUGAGUUUGAGGAAUGGAUAUCUUCCAAGAACACAAUUAACAUGAGUAGAAGUAUCGCAUGUUGCACAAUCAUCAAACCAACAAUUUGGAUCUUGACUUUCUUCAUAGAUAUCACAAUGUAACACAAAAUUGGAAGUCAUUGGUAAGUGAAAGAAGAUGCUCAUAGCAUUUGUGAUGGGUUGUAAUUGGAAGUGAAAAAUAAUUAAAAUGUAGCACAAAAUUGCAAUCCUUACGCCAAAAUGCUCCCGGUGUACUAACACCACAAGCAUUGUGUUUCCCAUUGUGUUCCCCGUGUAGUAACACCACAAACAUUAUACAACACGAAUACAUAGAAUAAUUCCGAUGAAGGCCUAUUGGCUUUACUCCCCAAAACCUCCUCUCUAUAUUUAUAGUGGCCAUUGAAGAUGAGAUAAAUCUAGUAGGAGAGGAGAUGAUGCCUACCUUUGUAACUCACAUUCCUCACCAAUGUUAACCAAAUUUGCCUAUAAACUCAGUCAAUUGUUAACAAAGCUAGAAAGAAGUUAUUUUUGUAAUAUGCAACAAUUAAUUAACCCAUUAAACAACUGUUUUGAAUCUUAAAACGAACGGAAG
rnacentral:lncRNA from 1 species